AUCACAGGGUUAGGAUGGCUCUUCCUAUCUAGGUGGAAACACCCGAGGCACUGCUCAUCCAUCAUUCAGUUCAUACUCUAUACAUCUAAACAGCCAUUCUCUUGUUCUCCCUAUUCCAGCUCUGUUUGAGAGUCACUUAUGAAACAAAGGGGUGAGAACAUUUGAACUCUUCAAACCGUUGUGAAAUCUGUCUGCUGAGCUCUGUUCACUAUGGUCUGAUGCUGGCACGCCAAGGGCUUAUGAUCCGUGGAUAACUGUUUAUCUAUAAAACAUCAAAAAACUCAUCUUGGAGGAAUUUAGUAAACAAUGAGCAACAGCGUCCUUGGGAAUGAACAAGGAAGUAAGCACAUAAAACAGUGGACAACAAAGAUCUUCUGGAUUAUGCACUUCUGCUUCAUGAUCCUCAGAACAGGAGCUUAAUUCUAGUUCCCUAGCUGCUGAGGCUUUCUGUUGGAUUUUGGGAGAAGAAGUGAACUAUUUAGGUGUUUGGAGACUGCUGAAUGAGUGCAUGCCUGAAGAACUCAAAAUGUGCAGAAUGAGUGUCAUAUGCAUGCUAAGCUGUUCCUGUGUUUCUGGAUAGAAACAGCUAAACGGCUGUCAAGAAUACAUUCUUUUUUCUCCAGAGGAUUUUGCCAUUUUCCUCCUGAGAGAGCUUUUGUUUUGCAUGAACUGGAAUCCUUUUUGGGAAAAGCUACCAGAGCUUCACUGCAGAGGGAAUCAUGUGCAGUACUGGGAAUUGAGUUUCAAGAGGCUGGCAGACUGUGGAUAUUUCUAAAUCCAGUGAAUUAGACACUGCAUUUCUCAGAACACUUCCAGACUUUGACUGCAGUUACCUGAGAAGUAAAAACCUGUAUGUAUAGCAGGUGAUGGACACCAUGACAGUUAAAAG
rnacentral:lncRNA from 1 species